rnacentral:rRNA from 1 species
CCUACGGGAGGCUGCAGUCGGGAAUAAUGCGCAAUGGAGGAAACUCUGAUGCUGUGACGCCGCGUGCAGGAAGGAGGUUUUUGGAUUGGUAACCGCUUUAGACAUGGGAGAAAAAAGACAGUACCUGUAGAAUAAGCUACGGCUAACUACGCGCUAUCAGCCGCGGUAAUACGUAGGGAGCAACUGUUAUCCGGUUUUAUUGGGUGUAAAGGGUGCGGAGACGGAGAAGCAAGUUAGUUGUGAAAUCCCUCGGCUUAACUGGGGAACUGUAACUAAAACUACUUCCCUUGAGUACUGGAGAGGAAAGUGGAAUUCCGAGUGUAGCAGUGAAAUGCGUAGAUAUUAGGAGGAACACUAGUGGCGAAGGCGACUUUCUGGACAGUAACUGACGUUGAGGCACGAAAGUGUGGGGAGCAAACGGGAUUAGAUACCCUAGUAGUC